UACGUAGGGUGCAAGCGUUAUCCGGAAUUAUUGGGCGUAAAGAGCUCGUAGGCGGUUUGUCGCGUCUGCUGUGAAAACUGGGGGCUCAACCCCCAGCCCUGCAGUGGGUACGGGCAGACUAGAGUGCGGUAGGGGAGAUUGGAAUUCCUGGUGUAGCGGUGGAAUGCGCAGAUAUCAGGAGGAACACCGAUGGCGAAGGCAGAUCUCUGGGCCGUAACUGACGCUGAGGAGCGAAAGCAUGGGGAGCGAACAGG
rnacentral:rRNA from 1 species